rnacentral:lncRNA from 1 species
UCGGGCCCUUGCACUUCUGCAUCUUCCGGAUCGGAGUUGAAUGCAUCGCCGGAGACUACUCUGAUUUCGGGGAGGAGAUCGGUCAGAGAUCUGACGGUGGUGGAUUUUCCGGUGCCUCUGUCUCCCAUUAUCAUUACACCGCCUAUCUUGGGGUCUAUCACGUUUAAGAGGAGGCACAGUUUCAUCUCGUCUUGCCCUACUAUAGCUGCGAACGGGUAAACGGGCCUUUGGUUCUCCUUGGAAGCCGCAAGCUUUUUGACCUGAAUAGUACGCCACAUAGGAUUUUGGGAGAAAGAUAACAUAAAAUUGGCGGGGAAAUAAUCGCUUAAAAUUGCAUUUGAGGCGGAAUUGUGCACAAGUGGAAGAAAUGUGAGUUCUAAAUGCAAUUGAGUAUCGAAACGAGGUUAGAAUUGACGAAAAUUAGUACCUGUUCUUGAGUAGGACUAAUGUCGGUGGCGACAUUGGUAAUAGAGAGGUGGAAUUGAGAACGCCCUUUCUUGAGGGGAACUCCGAUGCCUCCGUAGAAUUUCCUCCCUGAGCUCAGCCCUUCACCACCACCAUUAUUAAAAAAGAAAAAAAAUCAUCUUUAAGCACACAAAUCACCAUGCCCACACUUCCAAUUCUCAAUAAUUCCAUCCAAAAUUCAUGAAAUUAGAAGAUUAUAACUCAAUUAGACGACUAUGGAGGUGAAAUCAACUAAAAAAUUAACAGUAAAGCUGCAACAUUGUAAACUUAGGGUUUCUCAACAAGCAAAAUAAAAUAAAAUAAAACAGGGGGGG